rnacentral:tRNA from 1 species
GCGGCGGUAAUUCAGUUGGUAGAAUGCCACCUUGCCAAGGUGGAUGUCACCGGUUCAAGCCCGGUCCGCCGCUCCA